rnacentral:lncRNA from 1 species
CGCGGCCGCCAUCUUACGCCCGUCGCCCUGAGUACGUUAGCGGAAAUGGCUCCGAGAGGCUUUGACGCAUGUGUACCUUUUUAGUGGCGGUAUCUCGGCCGGGGAUUUUCGGGCUCCAGUGGAGGUGGCUAUGCUCACCCCAUCUCCCUUGAGAGGCACAGAAGGUUAGAGAUGUGUGCGAGGAACGGCCAGGUCCAGCGUCUCCUCGUUGCUGCCCCUUGAGCCCGGGACCGGCGCCAAUGCGCGCCCGGGUUCUUGGGUUCUUUCGUCCCGCAGACCUGCCUUGGUGUGGCGUCCCUGGGCCGUAGCUUCCGAAGGCUGCAGCCGACCUGGUCGGGGUCCUCUAGCCCGCCUUCCCCUUCCCCCAUUGACAGAUGGAGAAACUGAGGCCCAGGCCAAAAAAUAUCUCACUAGAGGGCUCACCGCCAUUUCCUGGAAAAAUUGGGGCUGGGACUCAACGGACGCUCGUCCAGCAGCAGCGCGGAGCUCCGAAGUAAAGGCGCCCGUGACCGAGUGCUUUGUCCUUACAAGCGUGGUGUUCUUGAAUGCUUCCAGGCGCCUUAUGAGGCCCCCGAUGUACAAUCUGUGCUUAACUAAACCCCACUGUCUUCCAGGGUCAGGUUGGCCAUCCGCAGGCGUAGUUGCUAGGAAGGUUUGACAGAUGUCCGCCUGUUGAUUCAGACGUUCCCAGGAUUUGGAGCAAGAAGAGCAAGGAAGGCCAGGCGCGGUGGCUCACGUUUGUAAUCCCAGCACUUUGGGAGGCCGAGGCGGGCGGAUCACGAGGUCAGGAGUUCGAGACCAGCCUGGCCAGCAUGGUGAAACCCCGUCUCUACUAAAAAUACAAAAGAAAAUUAGCCGGGUGUGGUGGCACAUGCCUGUAGUCCCACCUACUUGGGAGGCUGAGGCAGGAGAAUUGUUUGACCUGGCAGGCGGAGGUUGCAGUGAGCCGAGAU